rnacentral:lncRNA from 1 species
UGGGUUAUUGUUGAAGGUCGUACGAUGACGUAUGGUUGUUAACACAUACUUCCUUUGGUUUCUUAUGGAAAUUUGUCCAUUGACAACAAACAUACCACAUCAUCUACUUUAUAUAAGUAUUGUAUAAAUUACAACGUAUUUUGGUGAUCUUGCAAAAUGAUCGUAAUCCCGAAAAUCGUAAACAUAUUUUCUUAUCUUAAAAGGGGGCAAGAAGGGUUCCAUUAACAGGCCAAUAAAUAAGAUUACAGUUAAUUUGAAAAAAAAAAUAAAAAAAUAGGGGUAUUUUUUCUCUCAUAAUAACAGUAAACAGAUUCACAACAAUGUCAAUUUCAAGAAAGCAGACAACAGUUAAUUAGUCAAUAACAGUACAGCAUCAAUGAUCUUGAAUAUAUGCCACUUUUAACUAAAAUAUAAAGGCACAGAACCAGGACAUAGGAGCACAGAACCAGGACCGUUUUUCUUAUCACCAGCACAGCGUCAGGACAAUUCCG